rnacentral:rRNA from 1 species
AUGCAAGUCGAGCGGUAACAGGUGUAGCAAUACAUGCUGACGAGCGGCGAACGGGUGAGUAAUGUUUCGGAAUCUGCCCAAUGGUGGGGAAUAACCAGCCGAAAGGUUGGCUAAUACCGCAUAAGCCCUACGGGGGAAAGCGGGGGAUCGCAAGACCUCGCGCCGAUGGAUGAGCCGAAACCGGAUUAGCUAGCUGGUAGGGCAACGGCCUACCAAGGCGACGAUCCGUAGCUGGUCUGAGAGGACGACCAGCCACACUGGGACUGAGACACGGCCCAGACUCCUACGGGAGGCAGCAGUGGGGAAUAUUGGACAAUGGGGGAAACCCUGAUCCAGCGACGCCGCGUGUGUGAAGAAGGCCUGCGGGUUGUAAAGCACUUUUAGUGGGGAUGAAAAGCUCAGGGCUAAUACCGCUGAGUCUUGACCUAACCCAAAGAAAAAGCACCGGCUAACUCUGUGCCAGCAGCCGCGGUAAUACAGAGGGUGCAAGCGUUAAUCGGAAUUACUGGGCGU